GAUGAACGCUGGCGGCGUGCCUAAUACAUGCAAGUCGAGCGAACGGACGAGAAGCUUGCUUCUCUGAUGUUAGCGGCGGACGGGUGAGUAACACGUGGAUAACCUACCUAUAAGACUGGGAUAACUUCGGGAAACCGUAGCUAAUACCGGAUAAUAUUUUGAACCGCAUGGUUCAAAAGUGAAAGACGGUCUUGCUGUCACUUAUAGAUGGAUCCGCGCUGCAUUAGCUAGUUGGUAAGGUAACGGCUUACCAAGGCAACGAUGCAUAGCCGACCUGAGAGGGUGAUCGGCCACACUGGAACUGAGACACGGUCCAGACUCCUACGGGAGGCAGCAGUAGGGAAUCUUCCGCAAUGGGCGAAAGCCUGACGGAGCAACGCCGCGUGAGUGAUGAAGGUCUUCGGUUCGUAAAACUCUGUUAUUAGGGAAGAACAUAUGUGUAAGUAACUGUGCACAUCUUGACGGUACCUAAUCAGAAAGCCACGGCUAACUACGUG
rnacentral:rRNA from 1 species